GCUGAAAUUAGGGCGAUGCUGGGAGACGUGAAGGACACGAGCGGGGAGGUGAAGCAGUUGGAGGAGCAGGCGGCUGCGGUGCUGAAGGCGGCGCGGGCGGAGAUCGCGGCGGCGCUGAACCAGAUGAAGAAGGAGACGGCCGUGGAGCUGGAGGCGAAGCUGCUGGAGGGGAAGAAGAGGGUGGAGGCGGAGCUGGCGGAGGCGUUGGCGGCGCUGGAGGCGCAGAAAGAGGAGACGAUCAAGGCGCUUGAUUCGCAGAUUGCGGCGCUCAGUGAUGAGAUUGUCCAGAAGGUGUUGCCGGUCAAGUGAGGC
rnacentral:misc_RNA from 1 species